CCUUUUCCAUGAAGAAAGUGAAGAAAGUACUUUUUCUUCUAUUUUUUUUAUUUUAAUUUUUUUUCAAUCAAGUUUUCAAUCAAAAGAAGAGAAAAGAAAAGAAAAAGAGUACUGACUAAGGUUUUCCUAAUUCUAGACAGCUCCUAACUGUCAAGGUCGCCUUCGAGCACUCCAAGUUCGAAAUCGGCUAACCGAAUCAGCCAGGUAAGUGUA
rnacentral:lncRNA from 1 species